rnacentral:rRNA from 1 species
AGAGUUUGAUCCUGGCUCAGAUUGAACGCUGGCGGCAGGCCUAACACAUGCAAGUCGAGCGGCAGCGGGAAAGUAGCUUGCUACUUUUGCCGGCGAGCGGCGGACGGGUGAGUAAUGCCUGGGGAUCUGCCCAGUCGAGGGGGAUAACAGUUGGAAACGACUGCUAAUACCGCAUACGCCCUACGGGGGAAAGGAGGGGACCUUCGGGCCUUUCGCGAUUGGAUGAACCCAGGUGGGAUUAGCUAGUUGGUGGGGUAAUGGCUCACCAAGGCGACGAUCCCUAGCUGGUCUGAGAGGAUGAUCAGCCACACUGGAACUGAGACACGGUCCAGACUCCUACGGGAGGCAGCAGUGGGGAAUAUUGCACAAUGGGGGAAACCCUGAUGCAGCCAUGCCGCGUGUGUGAAGAAGGCCUUCGGGUUGUAAAGCACUUUCAGCGAGGAGGAAAGGUUGGCGCCUAAUACGUGUCAACUGUGACGUUACUCGCAGAAGAAGCACCGGCUAACUCCGUGCCAGCAGCCGCGGUAAUGCGGAGGGUGCAAGCGUUAAUCGGAAUUACUGGGCGUAAAGCGCACGCAGGCGGUUGGAUAAGUUAGAUGUGAAAGCCCCGGGCUCAACCUGGGAAUUGCAUUUAAAACUGUCCA